UACGUAGGGCGCAAGCGUUGUCCGGAAUUAUUGGGCGUAAAGAGCUCGUAGGCGGUUUGUCACGUCGGAUGUGAAAACCUGGGGCUCAACCCCGGGCCUGCAGCCGAUACGGGCAGACUAGAAUUCGGUAGGGGAGACUGGAAUUCCUGGUGUAGCGGUGAAAUGCGCAGAUAUCAGGAGGAACACCGGUGGCGAAGGCGGGUCUCUGGGCCGAUAUUGACGCUGAGGAGCGAAAGCGUGGGGAGCGAACAGG
rnacentral:rRNA from 1 species